rnacentral:rRNA from 1 species
GACGAACGCUGGCGGCGUGCCUAAUACAUGCAAGUAGAACGCUGACGGAGGAGCUUGCUUCUCCGGAUGAGUUGCGAACGGGUGAGUAACGCGUAGGUAACCUGCCUGGUAGCGGGGGAUAACUAUUGGAAACGAUAGCUAAUACCGCAUAAGAGUAGAUGUUGCAUGACAUUUGCUUAAAAGGUGCAAUUGCAUCACUACCAGAUGGACCUGCGUUGUAUUAGCUAGUUGGUGGGGUAACGGCUCACCAAGGCGACGAUACAUAGCCGACCUGAGAGGGUGAUCGGCCACACUGGGACUGAGACACGGCCCAGACUCCUACGGGAGGCAGCAGUAGGGAAUCUUCGGCAAUGGACGGAAGUCUGACCGAGCAACGCCGCGUGAGUGAAGAAGGUUUUCGGAUCGUAAAGCUCUGUUGUAAGAGAAGAACGAGUGUGAGAGUGGAAAGUUCACACUGUGACG